ACUAUCGGCGUCUGUGGCGCUGUGGGCGCUGCACAGGUGUCAGAGAGCCGAAGAAAGGAGGGAAAAGACGACAGAAAACACACACCAAUAAAGACAUGCAGGGAAAUAAACGUGAGCAGUUGGAUGGAGGAGGACUCCUUCCUGCAGCCUCCCAUCAACCCUCUGACCUCCUCCUCCUCCCUGUCCCUCCCCCCUCUGUGUCUCUCUCUGGAGUCAGGUUGCAUGGAUGGAUCAGUGUGCAAACAGUAGUGGCUGAAUCCCUGGUGAGUAAAAUCCUGCUGAUGCGUUCGGGGGCGUUUCAGCUCAAUCAUGGACCAGUCAAUAAAACCCCACAUAUUAUCACAACAUCACUUAGCUAAAAGUACGUUCACGCAUACGUGUAAAUAAUAAAACAUACUGCAUAUGGAUCAACCAACCAAGUGCAAUCCUAAAAGUACACAUUAUAAAGUACUUUACCUUAAUAAUGUGUACUGUUAUUGUAAAACAUUGAAAAAUAUUCAUGAACAUUCCAAUUAAUUUAUGAAGAUAACAUGAAUGACUUCUAAAAUAUGUUGGAACAUUUUAGUCUAAUAUAUAUAUAUAUACAUAUAUAUAGCAUUUGUCUUAGUAUUUUUUAAUAUCCCAGUAUUGUUACUAAUCGUGGUUAUUAUUAUUGUUCUUAUUAUUAUUGUUUAUAGAUGUGAUAUUUGUUAUUCAAGAAGACCUUAAUGUAGACAUGAAUAUAUUGAACUCCUGAGGAUGUUUAUUUGUAGCCUUGUGGGUGUUCUUGGGGGAAGCUCUUCCUACUGUAACUAUUGAAGCUGCCCCUAGUGGCUAAUGACAAAAUAAUUAUUUCCUUGUAUUCAGAAUCUCUCAAACCAGACUUGUGUUUUUAUUCUUGACUUCACCUGAUGACUUCUAGAACCUCGUUGCUCUACAGUCAUUGGAUCACCCUGCAGUUACACAAUGUGAAAGCUAGGCUGCUUAGGUUAGACCUUACACUAAUCCAAAAAUGUUAUUGUCAUGAUGCCACCCUGUAUCUGAAAUCAGACCAUAUCCCUCCUCUGCAUGUUUGACCUGUUUUGGUUUGGUCAAAAAUAUAGAAAAAUGAAAAGAAAUAAAAUGGAGUUCCAGUUUAAAUCCAGUUUAACCUCCCAACCAGGUCAACUGAUCGCUGUUACAACUGUGAGUGAAUCUUUCUGCAGUUUGUGUGGUUGUCUCUGUGUUUUGUUGUACACGCUACACAACGUUACUGUUGCCUCUGAUGCACAUGCUUGGUGUGUAUCCUGCUGUACUUAACAGAAAGUCUGUUAUACACUAUGUUUCAUGAUGCAUUUUCCUCUAAACAGGACCAUGACAUAUAGACGCUUCAGUUUCUCAGAGCUAAGACCUAAAACCCAAGACAGUGGCAUCACAAAUCUGUCACAUCUUUACCAAAAUGAUGGAUCAAGUCAAAGUAAGCCCUAUCAUAGUUCUAGUUGCAGUUACCCCCCCAGUGGCUGAUCAACAAAACUACUACUUCCUUAUUAUUAACGCCAAUAGAGUUAAACCGACAAGACUUAUGGCAACAGACAUGACUGGGUGUAAAUGGUGCAGAGGAUUUAAAAAAAAAAACCUACGUGGAUCAGGACUGAAGAGGACUGUAACAGUCGGACUGCUUUCUCUGCUACUCCCACACUCCUCAGGACCAGGCCGGCGUUGGCUCCAUGGCACCGAAGGAUCUGGGUGGAUGAAUGGGUGGCUGUAGGAGAGGGUCCCGCAGCAAAACAGCGACUACAAUAACUGAUUUAACCCAAUGGGUUAGAUGUGGUCCAGAUGGCGGAGUCUGGA